rnacentral:lncRNA from 1 species
GUUUCUUUUCUGUCGAGGCACUGGGUGUGAACCUUCUCUGAAGACUGCUCAGUGCCCGCCUGACAGCUGGAGGGCCAGGACUCCCGCUACAGCUGCUGCUGAGGCUGUAAAUGAUACCAGGCACGGCACACCAGCUCGUCUACUUUUCUCCUUUGACGAGUCCUUUACUGAGCACUGACUGUCUUCUGAGCCGCCUUCUAGACAUGAUGGUCAACAAGCUCAGGUCGACCUGGGGUAGACAGGCACACAUCGGAUGGCCGAGCCUGAAGCCUGCCCUGUGCCCAGUGAGCGCAGCGAGGAUGCCUGCCGACAAUUCAGACCGGGCAGAGGACCGCUCUUGGGUUUGUCCCUCGAGGGUGCUGAGGGGUGAGUCCCCACAGGGAGAGCAGCAGAAGGAAGUGAAACACAGAGGAGACAGAGCUGCAAAGCGGGGCAGGCACAAGCCAGCGGGGUGGUGGGCGCUGACUGCGGGCUCUGUGCUGUGUGCACAGAAGCAGACAGUGGGCAGGGCCCAGCUCUCAGAAGUGCCUGCUUCCCGGAAGAGGUUUACGGAACCUUCGGAGGAGGGAGGUGUGGGGUUAGAGUAA